rnacentral:rRNA from 1 species
UACAGAGGUCUCAAGCGUUUGUUCGGAUUCAUUGGGCGUAAAGGGUGUGUAGGUGGCGCGCUAAGUCGGGUGUGAAAUUUCGGAGCUUAACUCCGAAACUGCAUUCGAUACUGGCGUGCUUGAGGACUUGGAGAGGAGACUGGAAUUCAUGGUGUAGCAGUGAAAUGCGUAGAGAUCAUGAGGAAGACCAGUGGCGAAGGCGGGUCUCUGGACAGUUCCUGACACUGAGACACGAAGGCCAGGGGAGCAAACGGG